AAUGAUACUGAAAGAGCCAAAAAUAUGACAGCAGAGAUUAAAUGUCAAGCCAGAUUUAUCUUGUGUGACCAUUUCUGGAUGAUGUAAAAUAGCACACUAUCUUUAGUUUGGAAGCAUAUUAAUUUAUCUGGAUUUUUUUUUACUUGAGGGGUAAACUCAUGUUGAGGAUUUCAUUAAAAAUGGGUAAUUCAAUCCAACAACUAGACCUUAUGUGGGGUGAUUCUUUUUUACUUUAAGGUGGGAGGGCAAAGAGUGUUUUUCAAAAACUAAUUUCCUAAUUUUCAAUUUCUAGAGAUCUUUUAAAGCCAUCAGAACUAUUGCUGCCUAAGACAUGCAUGGCAAAUAAAAGUGUCUCACUGGAUUUCAAAUAAGGGGAAUAAUCAAUGUUAAGUGCUGCCUUGUUAGAUUUCUUCCUGAUUUUUUUGAAGCUCCGCUUCUUCUGUUUCAGAGCUAUGUUUCCCCAGUGGGCUACCACAUCUCUGGGUUUCCAGUACUUGGAAUUUUGCUUCCCAGUUGCAGAGCUAAGAAGCCAAUUCACAUUCCAUCGUUGUCCUAAAGUCUUUUUCCUAUUUUGAAUAUCCCAUCUUGUCUGGAUUUAUCAAGGGGGCUUGAAAAAUUUGUGCAGUGUUCCAAAAGCAGAGUAAAGGAGGAAAGGCCAGGAAGUAUGGGAGAGAGCCAGGCAAGUGGUGAGAGCCAAGAGUUCAGAUUUAUAACUUCAGGUGGCCUGCACCAGACCCACAGGGCAGUAACAGUCUUCCACUGAAUUCUUUAGCAGUUUUUACAAUUGCGUAAGGAUGUCACAUUGUGCUUAGACAUUCUCAGUUUGUGAAAAAUUAUGAGGUUCAUGAACCCCCUGAGAAGCCCACCUUGGAAAUGAAGAUGUCUAUUGAGAGAGAAAAUGGUCUCAUAUUUCAGGUAAUGCAAAA